CAACACACUACAUAUGGUUCACUACACAACCUGCAGAAAUCUGACAUAAACUUACUUGUUGGCCAUUUAAAAACAACGCCAUCAAAAAUGCCACUACCAUGGAGCAUGGAUUUGCCAAUACACCCAAUCCCUUGAUUUUCAGCUCAUCAAUCAGGAUGUAAGCAGUACAAAGAGGCCAAAGAGCCAUGAUGAUUUGUUGAAGGCGUUGCCUAGCCGCACACAUAAGCCAAUCAGUUUGUUCUGCCUGGAUGACAUAGACUGAGAGGUCCAAGGGAUCACCAAGCUCCGAGC